GGCAGAGGGAGAAGCAGGCUCCAUGCACCGGGAGCCCGACGUGGGACUCGAUCCCGGGUCUCCAGGAUCGCGCCCUGGGCCAAAGGCAGGCGCCAAACCGCUGCGCCACCCAGGGAUCCCUAGACUAAGCUUUUUAAGAAUAAGGACUAGGUUGUGUUCUACUUUGUAACUGCAGUGUCUAUAACGGUAUUUAUCCCACAAUAGGUACAUAAUAAAUACUUGAAUUAAAACCUGUUAUAAGGAUUAUGCUUCCAGCAUUUUGCUCUGUGGCAGUCUUCUGUUAGGGAUGAGACUCAUGAGCUCAAUAUAGGCAUGUAUACUGAGCCUGCCUCUUCAACUUAACAGAAAUCAGGACACAGGUUUUCCUGAGAAAUCAGAUAAUUUCCACUGUAUUAAAAAGGAUUGUUCAACUUGUCUUCUUUUUUAAACAUACCUUGAAUGAAGUAGCUUUUUGGAUGACCCAAAGCUGAGUCCCCCCUCUGCUGGUCUUAGAUCUUAUAGAUAGUUGGUCCUGUAGGUGCUACAUGGUUUCUGUCCCCUCUGUGACACUAUCAUGACCAAGCCUCCACAUGGGCGGUCCUCCAUCCUGUGAGUGUCCACCUGCCAUCACGUAGUUCAGAAGGCCUCAGUGGUUUCUCAUUAGUGUUAGGCUUCUCAUUGGUCCUAAUGAGCAUUCCUUAAGGCAGCGAAAAAAGGGAUAGGUAGUUAGUUUGAAGACUAUUUUCCCAAACCAAGCAAACCAAAGACAGAAAAAUUGAGAAACACACUCUUCCUAAUAGUUUUAAUGUCCUUUAAAAACUAGAGUCUUAUUUUGUUUAACUGAACUCCAAAGACUGAGUGUGCCUCAGAGAGAAAACAGGGUGAGCUCUCCUUUGCAGUGAGGGAAAAGCAUGGGGUUUAUUGUUUGAAGAUCUGGAUAUGUUUUAUAAAAUUAUCUAAAAUUUGGAAAUAAAGCAAAAAUUACUGCAGGUCACUUUAAAGUGGUACUUAGGGGCACCUGGGUGGCUCAGUGGUUGAGCAUCUGCCUUUGGCUCAGGGCACGAUCCGGGAGUCCUGGGAUUAAGUCCCACAUCGGCCUCCCCACAGGGAGCCUGCUUCUCCCUCUGCCUAUGUCUCUGCCUCUCUGUUUGUCUCUCAUGAAUAAAUAAACUCUUUAAAAAUAAAAGUAAAGGGGUACUUAGAGGAUUGUCUAAUGGGGCACCCAAGGAUCACCUGAUGUUCUAAGACAGGAACAUUAGCAAAUUAUGUCCUAGGGGUCAAAUCCAGCCCCCCACCUGUUUCAUGUCAGUCAGCCUUACUGGAAUGCCCCAUGCUCAUCCAGUAUUUAUUGCCUAUGGCUGCUUUCAUUUGACAGAAACAGAGUUGAGUAGUUAUGACAGAGACCAAAUAGCUUGUGCCACCUGAAAUACUUGCUAUCUGGCCUUAUAUGGAAAAAGUUUGCUCAUCCCACCUCCAGAGGAGGUAACUCUGACUUAGUACUUAUUGGUCAUUAGGACACAGCCCCACUAAAGUUAGACUUUUUUUUAAAAAAAGAUGCAUUUUUUUAUUUGAGAGCAUGUGCUAGAGGGGGAGGGGCAAAGGGAAGGAGAAACAAACAGGCGCCCUGCUCAGUGGGGAGCGAUCCCAGGACCCUAAGAUCAUGACCUGAGCCAAAAUCAAAAGUUGGAUGCUUCACCGAUUGAGCCACUCCAUCGCCCAUUCUAAAGUUAGAUGUUAAGUAACUUAGAGAAGAUUAAGUUGCAAAGGUUUUCUUGUUGGUAGAAAAGGGAACUCUGAGAGUUAUGGAUUCCUGUCUUGUAGGGCAUUAUCAUGUUUUUACAGUGACCUGUGUGGUCUCCAUCCAGCGCUCUUUCCCACUGUGUGCAUGUAUGCAUGUGUGUAUUCGUUUCUCGUGUCAUCUUUGAGCUGGGUUUGUCAUUCUGCUGGCCUACACAUUAAUGAGCUAAAUAAAUCUUUGACAUGUGCUCACUAUGUAUUUGUAUGAGAGCCCUUUAUAAUUCAUAGAAAAUUAUACAAUGACCUCUUGACACCUAUCUGUGCCUCCUCACAGAUGUUCCAUCUUGAGGUAGUCAAGCCUCUGGUUACCUAUCUGGUAAGUAGAGAUACUUUUACCCAGUACCUCAGCCAAACCACUCUCUCCUUCAUGUAAUAAUAGCCACUGGACAACAUUUUGUAGUACUUAAAUUAAAAGAUAAUCUGUGUAAACACUUUUAACUAUAAAGCACUAUAUAGUUGUUCACUGUUACUUCUUGACAAAAAUCUCGACCUUAGGUAAUAAAGUAGAGGUGGAAUUCUUAUGUAGGAAUUGCAGACCGAGACUCGAUUCUUUGACUUUCCCAUUUAGAAUAGUUAUUUUUAAAAAGCAAUGUACAUAAGGGUUAAUCUUAAGCCUAACUACCCACCUGAUGAAUGUGCUAAAAAUGAAGGUGCUAUAUUAUAAUCUUUUUUGUUUGAAAAAUAGUCCAUCGAUAACCACAUAUAUUAAAUCCUCAAGAAGUAGUGAUGAGUUGAAAAUUUCUAGCCUGUAAUAACUACAAAAGGAAGCAGAUAACAAUGCAGCUGUGAGUGUGAGCUGGAAAUAACUCAUUGCCUUUUUAUUGGAAGAAAAAAAAAGGAGCAAUUCUAAUAAAAGAAGUACCUGUGGCUGAAAAUGGAAAUAUAAAUUGUUUACUUUUUAGAGCAACAUCAGUUCUUUCAAACCACACAGUUCCUUGUAAUACUUCAAAACACAUUGCCACAUGGAAACCUGCUCCGAAAGGAAGACGAGCACUCUAGCAUGAUCAGCUUACUGUCUCCUACUAAAUUGAGAUUAUACAUAGGAGUUUAAGUAUAUUAAACUUAAAGCUCAGAUUUUAUUUUAUUUUUUUUACAUAUUUCUUGAUAGCCCAAUCUGAUUUUUUAAGAGUAUGAUCACUGGCUAGAUAUUGCAUGAUAGAUAAACCACUUCUUGAGCAUGAGUGAAAACAUUUCGAAGAAAAUUCUAACAAUCCCAUAAGGGUGCCAUUUAACCUAACUCUGCUGUGGGGAAAUACUAUGCUCUGACUGCUCAGUUUUGAGCAGUGUCCUCUACAACCGAGUGAAACUGCAAAAAAGAUUGCCAUGUAUACAGUAAUUUCAACUGAUAUGGUCUACCUAAGAUCAGGUUUGAAUUAUGAAACCAAAAGUGACAGUUCCUGUAGUCUUUUAUUAAAUUCCAGUCUCUUUUGUUCAAGUUAGAUUCUAAAUGCUUUGAGGAGUAUCUGGCACAUAGUAGGUGGUCAGUCAAUAUUAGUUGAAUUUUUAAAUGAAUCUCCUAUGAAGAGACCUACGGACCUGCCUACCACUGUUCCCUAAAUGGCUUCUGGGGUAAAUAGCAGGGGCUUGUGAGAGGAGAAAAAUCUCAGGUUAGAGCUUUGGAUUAAUAAGUGUAAUUAUGUUAAAUGAGUCACUAAACUAAAGAAAAGCAAAAAAAAGCUUCUAUACCAUUGACAGCUUCCAAGGUUAAAGUCUUGGGUUAUAGCUCUUAUCAGGAUGAUGAGGAGACAAACUUUCAAGUGUUUUUAAGUCUGUUACUUUUGCCAGACAGUUGAACUCUUCAGAAGGACAAAAUGAUUAUUUCUUUUGAGAAUGCUGCCAGAUGUCCUGAAACUGAAAAUAAAGUGCUCAUUUGCUCGGCAGUGGGGUGGGCAUACUUUGACCUGGCGCCCACCUCUGCCAGCUUCUGCUUGUGUGUCCUGCACAGCGCAGUGCUCAAUGAUCAGACUUUCGAGUAUGGAGGUUUCUAGUAUUGUAAAGGGCAAAGAGACGGUGGCCCUAGAAAGCUGACUUUUCUGGCUUUUUCUUACUCCACCAGAGACUAAAAUGUUUGUCUAACUGUUGCACCAGCUCUCAGCCAACCAGCUGGUUGCAUUUGUGCAGGAAUCAUGCACAGCCUUGGAACCCAGCCAGAUGCCCUGUGAAACCCCAUCCUUGGGGGUUCGGAGCCUCAUCUUGAUGUGGUUAAUGCACACACCUCAAAAUAUCCACCAUCAAGCCCAGAAUACAUGCCAAGCAGCAGGAUAACAGAACUUACCACAAGGCAUUAGAUUAUGAAACCACCUGUUGGCACUCAUGUGUCUCCAUUAUUACACAACAUUUUUAUGCCACAAGUCCAACUUCGUGAACUGACUAGUCUUCCAAACCAAAAGUUGUUUGGAGAGAGAGCAAAGGAAAAGCUAAACAGGAAAUAAGUAAGCCAACAGUCAUCACCUAAUGCAACUGCACAGAAAAGUUGAAAAAUAUUUUAAGUGUUUUCAAAAUGUUUGUAGAUAUCAAAGAGCCAAACCAUCUGGGUGAAACAUUCCAUUACCCUUAGCUCUUUUGUAGGGGACAUUAGUUUUGAACUAGAAAAGCUCACCCCUGCCCAAGGUAACAUACUUUGCACUUCACACCUCAUUCAAAACUUCCAAGCAUGUUAAGUUCUAAUUAGUAAUAAAAUUUAGAAGUGCGUGGCUAUUACUGUUUUUCUUUUAAACACUUGUCCAUGAGGCUUAAAGAAGAGAGGAAUCUCCCCUAUCCCACUCCCGCCAGGAUGUUAAUUCUGCUCUCUCGCUCCUCCUGUCUGCCCUGCCCUCCCUCUUUCACAUCCUUCCCUUGUGAUAUUCAGGAAGCUCCUUCAAGACUUGCAGCUUUGAAGGAGCCAGAUCAUAUUAGAAUUCUGAUUCUCAGGGGUGCUCUGCCUCCUACUCCCCACCUGACCCUACCCUUCCUCUGUCUGCCCCUUUGUGUAGUACCUGUUGUGUCCCUCUCCUCCAAGACACCUUCCACAUCCAACCAGGUACUAGCUCUGAGUAAUUAGCAGGAGAGAGUUUACUGGUGGAACUGGUUAGUCUUGAAAGAAUUUGCUUAUUUGUUCACCUGAUAAACCCAGGCUGGAGAUGAGGGACCAUGGUUUUGAACAAAGAGGAUACAUUCAGGACAAGUUAUGGUCAGCUUCUGAAGCCUCAGAGGUCACCUGUAAAAGCCCCACGUAGGGACUGGCAUAUGAAACCAUGUCCCAUCUAGGGGAGGAGGGGACCAGGAGGAUGGCAGUAGCUGUUGUUCCUCUCCGGCCAGUUUUGUUGCCAAAUAGGAAGGCAGGCUGGUAUUUUCAGAUUUUUUUUUUCCCCAAGAGAAGCUGGGACCCAAAUUUGUAUGUGAAAUCUCCUGAUUGUUGUAUGUUUGCAAGGAUUUUAAGUUUGGUUUCUUUUUAAUGUUAUAUGUAAUGAGUAAAACAGCCAUGAGCAGGAACAUUGGACUGCCAUCUUGCGACGUCUGGUCUACAGAACCCUGGAUUGUUAGGACUGUAUACUUAGAAGGCUCUGACAUGUCCACAUGGGUCUCCUUCCGUGAAUUUCAUUGUCACGGUACUUUAAAAUUCAUUCACCUGCUGAGGGAUUCUUUGGGCUUUGGAGGCUGGCCAGACUGGAGGCGAGCCUGUAAGCCAACCGUGGACUGGAGCAGAUGGCCCAGCCUCUCGCAGCUUCCAGGCUUCCUGGGUUCUAGGCUUCCUGAAGGGUCCACAUCCUCUCCUGUCACCAAAUGGAAAGAGCCCAUUGUGUCAUCCAAGAUCUCACCAAGUCUUGCUGUAGUAGUUGUAAGAAACCUUUAACAAGCCUGGACUAAAACCAUCCUCCAUUAGGAUGAUCAAUCUGAAAACAGAUUGGAUCUGUUUGGAUCUGUUUGGAUGAUUGGAUCAUUUCACAUUCCACAGGCGAAGUCCAAGCCCCUUGCUCUAGCACAUGAGCUCCUGAGCCUCAUGCCUUACAGUCUAGUAACACAAAAACCCCUGUAGUUCCCUGAAUACAUCAUGCAGUUUCGUAACUCAGCGUUUGCUUAGCCUGAUCCCUGGAGCAUGCUCCUGCCUCUUGGCUCGGCUAACUCUUGAUCCUCUUUUAGACGUCUCUGGGAAAUGUCCUCUGGGCUCCCAGCUGGGGUGAAGUGCCCUCUUCCUGGGGCCCAGGAUACGGUUCCCUCUUAGCAUCUGCUAUAUCAGUGUGUACUGAGAUUGGCUGUGGGCUUUGUCUCUGCCACCGAGCUGUGAGCACAUGCUGUGUAUCCCACUCAGAGCUCGGUGCCUGACACACCCGUCUAUCACUAGAUACUUGUACUGAAAUGUUGGAAAGCAGGUGCAUCAUUUGUGUAAAUCUCAAUAAAUGUUAAUUUCCUUCUUUGUCCCAGGGUCACACACAAAAUUAAGAAAAAAGGCAACACUAGGGGCGCCUGGAUGGCCCAGCUGGUUAUCGUCCAACUCUGAUUUCGGCUCUGGUCGUGAUCUCAGGAUUGUGAGAUCCAGCGCUGCAUUGAGCUCCACACUGAGCAGGGAGUCUGCUUUCCUCUCUCUCUCUCUCCCUCUGCCUCCCUCCCUAAAUCAAUCAAUCAAUCAAUCAAUCAAUCAACCUAAUGGGGAAAAAUGGCAACACGGAUAGACCUCCACCUAGCAGCACUUAACAGACUCCUCUCCUUUUCCCCCUCCUAGCUCUGGUUUCAGUUUCCUUAUCUUUAUUUAUAUGGAGCCUGUUGGACUGAUCUCUAAGGCAAUUUCCAGUUAGAAAGUUCCUUAUUGGUUCUACUUUGACUUAGACAUUUGUUUAUACCCUCUUAAUGACCCACAGAAGCUGUGCACACAUGGGGCUUUCUUCGGUGCCCAAUGGGUGAUUUUGGAGGUUAAAUGCCACUAUGACAUUCACUGUGACCAGGGCAGUGGUCUUGCCAAAGGGGCACAGUAAAGUGCAUCCAGGAAGGUCUUCCAGUUUCUGAAGAUGAAUGUAAAAUACAAAAUGUCACCGCUUCCCAAGCGCUGCUGGAGUGAUCCUGCCUCAACCUCCAGGACCCAUCCUGUCUUCUCCUGGCCCUCUUACCGGGCUCAGUGGAGAGCUAGUGCAUGGACCAAGAACAAGCCUAUGUAACCUAAUGAAAAGGAAAAAACAAACCGUGAAAAAGGAGGAGAAACAGAACACAUUCCACUUCUUCCAUCACCUCCAGGCUGUUUUUCCAAAUUUACUGAAUCCUGAGAGCCAUCUGAGGGCUUGUUGAAAGGACUCAUUCGAAGCCUGUGCCCUGAGACCGAGGCUGUAGGCCUGGUGUAGAAUGGGAAAGCAGUUUCGAACAGUCACCCUGUGUGUGAUUUUUAUCAGGAAAGCUGAAGAAGCACACAGGCCAGCGGGGUAGAGCCCACACCCAUUAGAACUGCAGACGAAGGGCAGCCCCAGUGGCUCAGCGUUUUAGCGUCACCUGCAGCCCAGGGCGUGAUCCCGGAGACCCGGGAUCGAGUCCCACGUCAGGCCCCCUGCAUGGAGCCUGCUUCUCCCUCUGCCUGUGUCUCUGCCUCUCUCUCUCUCUCUCUCUCUCUUCUGUGUGUCUCUCAUGAAUAAAUAAACAAAAUCUUAAAAAAAAAAAUUGCAGACGAAGCUUCUGUGACUUGCUCCAGAUUCCACCAUUCCUUGCUCAUGCUUCUGGCUCCUGAUGUAAGGCCCCACAGGCACCGCCCUGCUGCGCAACGCCAAGCUGUGCACACUGCCCUGCAGGCCACACAUCCUCUCCAGCAGGCUUCCUGUGCAUUAAGACUCAGUCGAGGUAUCCCUUCGUUGUGUUUCCAAGCACCCUGCCCUGGCUUCUGACACAGGAACAGCACAUUUCAGUUACCAGCUCACAGGCCACCAUCCCAAGUCCUGCUUUCUCUAGUUCACGUCUACCUCAGACUCCUCAGUUGAAGGCAAGGGACCUUGCAUGUUCUACGUUCGUGUAUGCCCCUCUCUGGACACCUGGCAGAGAGCCUGGCACCUGGGGGGUGCCACCCCUGGGGGUUGCUCCAUAACUCUUUGUAAGCCUCUGUGACUGUGAUCCCCUCUGCAACUCUUGCACCUCAUUCUGUGCCCAUCACAGUUGAAUAAAUUAUUGAGAAAUCUGA